rnacentral:rRNA from 1 species
GUCGAGCGAGCUUGCCUAGAUGAUUUUAGUGCUUGCACUAAAUGACCCUUGAUACAAGCGAGCGGCGGACGGGUGAGUAACACGUGGGUAACCUGCCCAAGAGACUGGGGUAACACCUGGAAACAGAUGCUAAUACCGGAUAACAACACUAGACGCAUGUCUAGAGUUUGAAAGAUGGUUCUGCUAUCACUCUUGGAUGGACCUGCGGUGCAUUAGCUAGUUGGUAAGGUAACGGCUUACCAAGGCAAUGAUGCAUAGCCGAGUUGAGAGACUGAUCGGCCACAUUGGGACUGAGACACGGCCCAAACUCCUACGGGAGGCAGCAGUAGGGAAUCUUCCACAAUGGACGAAAGUCUGAUGGAGCAACGCCGCGUGAGUGAAGAAGGGUUUCGGCUCGUAAAGCUCUGUUGGUAGUGAAGAAAGAUAGAGGUAGUAACUGGCCUUUAUUUGACGGUAAUUACUUAGAAAGUCACGGCUAACUACGUGCCAGCAGCCGCGGUAAUACGUAGGUGGCAAGCGUUGUCCGGAUUUAUUGGGCGUAAAGCGAGUGCAGGCGGUUCAAUAAGUCUGAUGUGAAAGCCUUCGGCUCAACCGGAGAAUUGCAUCAGAAACUGUUGAACUUGAGUGCAGAAGAGGAGAGUGGAACUCCAUGUGUAGCGGUGGAAUGCGUAGAUAUAUGGAAGAACACCAGUGGCGAAGGCGGCUCUCUGGUCUGCAACUGACGCUGAGGCUCGAAAGCAUGGGUAGCGAACAGGA